AAAAAAAAAAAAACUAACAUUUAAGUGCAUAAAUCCUCAAUCGUUAAAGUUUUUGAAUUAGCAAUAAAAGUUGUUGAAUUAGAAGAAUAAGGAGAAGAAGAUAAAGAUUAAUCUGCAGGCAAAACUAGUUGGAAUUGAGAGAUGCUGGUGGCCAGAGGUAGAGCUUGGGUACAGAGAGGAGAGUAAGGUAUCAGUCACCGAUGGGCAAUGGCUUCCUUUCAACACUUACGACCGUUUUCGCAAACUAACCUCGUGGGUUGUGUGAAUUAAAAGUUCAUAGCCCAUUUUAGGAUCCAACUAGAAAGCCCAAACACGCUGCUGCUGAGGCGUACAUAUACAGUCUCUGUUAGUGCUCUGGCAUAGGAAGCGAGCAAGUGCUAUGCUCUCUUUGGCUUGCCAGAAGCGAGAGCGGUACUGGAUGUUGAAAAUACACUGACCGAGCAUAGAAGCAUCGAGAAAAUGGCCUGGCAAUGGCGUUUAUUUGGUUUUCUCUCUCUCUGUUUGCUCGUAUUUUCUGCAACAACCAAUGCUUCGCAGUGCUCAAUCAAGUGGUUGCCAGUUGUGAGGAAUGUUAGUGAGCUUCCUCAGGAUGAUUAUGGAAGGCGAGGUUUGUCCCAUGUUACUGUUGCUGGUUCUGUCUUGCAUGGGAUGAAAGAGGUGGAGGUAUGGCUUCAAACUUUUUCUCCAGGCUCACGCACUCCAAUCCACAGACACUCAUGUGAAGAAGUUUUUAUUGUCCUAAAAGGAAGUGGCACUCUCUAUCUUGCCUCAAGUUCACAUGAGAAGUCUCCUGGAAAGCCACAAGAAUAUGCCAUCUUUUCCAAUAGCACAUUCCAUAUCCCUGUCAAUGAUGCUCACCAGGUCUGGAAUACAAAUGAACACGAGGAUUUGCAAGUGCUUGUCAUAAUAUCUCGUCCACCAGUCAAAGUGUUCAUAUAUGAUGACUGGUUCAUGCCCCAUACUGCAGCAAAAUUGAGGUUUCCCAUCUUUUGGGACGAACAGUGCCUACAAGUUCAAGCACCUCCAAAAGACGAGCUUUAAUAACAAGCUAUAUCUGUGUGUAUUGCUUACACGAGUCUGAUAUUUUCUGUUGUGGAUUAGUAAAUACUUGAUAUGAAAGUUUUCUCACCAAAAAGAUCGUAUGAGGCUGUUUUGUACUUGUAAAAUAACAUAAGCUGAGAAACUUACAUAUUUUGUUUCUAAGUUCUACUGCUUCCAAAUUCAUGUGGUACUAAUUUAAGUUUCAACUUAGCUCUUGGAACUCUGAGAAAUGGCAAGUUCUUAUCGGCAGGCAAGACAAGAACUGGGAAAAAGGAAUAAGAAGGAUGCAAUUUGGCUUCCUAAUAUGGUCGCCCAUAUGGAGUGGCCAGUGGGCCUAUGAUUCCAAGUAAGCAUUGCUUUGACAAUAGUUUUAAGUACAUUAUAUGUCGUAUCGUUCUUUAAGGUAGGGUAAUGGUUUCUUUUGAGAAAACAGUUUCUGGCAGAUUCUAGCAGUUCCUAUAAAGUGCAAACUUACGAGGAUAGCCGAUGUUCCAAAUUUUAAUAUGAUAUUUCAAGUUGGUUUGGAAACCAAUAUGCGCUAGACUACUAAACAAACAUAUAAUUGAGUCACAGAAAAUUGCACGAGUCUGAGCAAAUAAUUCCUGUUAAUUGCACUAAACAGUCCUUCCCAGCUGUCAUCAAAUACAUUACAUUUUUUAGCAUGCGAGAGUGACAUAACUCUAGGAACUCAUCGAUCACAAAAAGAGAUCAACGUCAUCUCUUCUUUUUGGUCAAUGAACUGCGUCGUUCAGCUUCUUUCUCUGCUACCAAAACAUGGAACUCUGACCCAAGCAUCUCAUCUAUACCAAGAUUCAAAGUGCUACUCAAGUUAAAGGCCUCCAAUAUCACUUCUAAAGUUAAACUGAAGCCCAAAGUUGACAAUACACGGACAGCAUUUGCAACCCUGCAAAUGCUCCGUCUUGUCUCUAGUGGUACGUUUUCAGAAACUCUAGUGGAUUUGGUAUUUUGUUCUUCAGUAUUGUUUAGUUGCUCUUCUGCUACAGUGUCUCUGGCAUCACAAUGUUCACCAACCCAUAUAAAUCCAUUACAUCCAAGUAUCAAGUCAACUCCAUAUUGUACCAGAUGAUGGAAAUGCUGUUUUUGUCUUUUCACUAGAUAAGGGGGGACUGUCAGCAAUUGCCCCUUCUCAAGCUGUAACAUGCAAUUAUUGUAAGUGACAAGAAUAAUGCAUAUUGCAUACAUUUGAAAGUGACUAUGCUGAGUUUUAAAGAGACUACUAAGGAAUCAAAUCUAAAAUACACACACUCUACAAAAAUGAAAGCAAAGUUUAGAUAACCUGAAUUACAGGAAAAGAUAAUGAAUCAGUAACAUUUUGCAACAACAUUUAAAAAAGAAUCCAAAGCUGAUAAUGACGUUAGUGUAACAAGUGCAAACCUAAAAGCACUUAGAUCACCUCUUUUUGUUUUACACUAGUAAAGAACAGGUUAAUCAAAUGGUUCUCAUUUUGUGUUAAAAGCACAAAUUUCAAGAAACCCAAACUAAAUAUCCUGUUUUACGAUAACUAACAUGAAUUUUACAUAUAUAUAUAUACAGAGGAAGUGUGUAAAUGGGAGAAACGGCUAUAUUAUAAAAGGUUCACAAGUGUAUCAAACCUUCCCAUACUUCUGACUUCUUGCUUGCAGUUGUAAACUCCCAUCAUUCUGAAAAUUACGAACUUCAGCCUGAAAAAGGGAAAUAACUUAUUAUUCCUGUCACUAAAUUAUGCAUUUGUUUGCCUUUAUUUAUGGUGCCACAUUAGAUUAUCAUAUAAAAAAGUAUCAACAUAAACAAUGGAAGAAUUGUGGCUGUGCACUUACACAAAUAACAUCAUUCUCCUCAAAAACAUUGCGCAUGUUCAGUUCAUCCACAGCAGUUCGCCGCCUCUAGCAAUCAAAAUUAUGAAGGUUGCAAAUAUUUAGUCAAGAAAGAAAGCAACAAACUGCCCUAGCUCUUCAAGGUAAACAGUAUCAAUGCAUGCUCCAGGCCAAGUGUUAUGAGCUUACGCUGAUCUAUCCACAAAUGAAUAGCUUAAGAGUGCAAUGAGCAUCCAAGUUGUUAACAGUCCUUCCACUGACAGUAGACUAACAGAAUGACCUUAGAAUGCAUAAACAUCUACGCUGACUGAAAGCAGCCAAGGUCCAAAGACACUUGUAAGAAAGAUGGAACCUCAACCAGCCCUAGAAACUUCCCAACCCACAUAGAAUGGGCUCAUGUCAUAGAAAUCAAUGGCAUGAUAAGGUUACAGCCAAAAUGAUGAACAAAAAUAGAGUUUAUUCUAAUGUGCUUCACAACAAGAAAAUAUUUACACAAUGGACUCAACUACUAGCAUUGCAUAAAGCUUAAGAUUGGGGCAUUUUUAUGAAGACCUCAUUAUCUUUGCAACACUUCAAUUAUAAUUGAAGCUCUUUUUCCUCAUUUUUAAUCAAUAAAAUAUUUUAAAUCCAGUAGACAGGAACUUAAAUUUCUCUCAUGUUUCCAAUAUGGCAAUCAGCCAAUCAUGCAGCAAAUGAUCAACUUCACCCACCAUGAUGAGAAAGCAGAAACUACUACUUGUAUUUAGAGAAUUAUGCUAUAAGGUAUAUUUGAUACCUGAAUACCAUCAGGCAAGUUCAUCGAAGAAAGCAUUAAAACAGCAUCUUGGUUGAAAUUUAUUUCCAAUUUCCAACGCUUUUGAGCGACCUCAACAACGCGGCCCACUAUGAUAUCUCCAAUCUCUGGCUUGAACCUGGAGCGCAAAGAUCGUACAUAGACAAGCAUGUUAACGCGUUCCACCACUCCACAGACCGUCGCCACCACUUCACCGUUGCGCUCUGCUGUUCCAUGUCCUUUGAGAAUACUGUCUUCGAGGCUGAUUGGGAUGGUAUCGGCGACGGUGACGGAAGCAUCAGAAUUGACCUUAGAAUGCAAAGACUCGAGCUUUUGCAGAGCUUUCUGUAAUCUUAUCUUUUGAGUUUGAUUCAAGGAUAGCUGUAUUUCUCUCAUCUUUCGUUAAUUUACCUCUUCUUCCUCCCCUCUACUCUCCUCUCCUCU
rnacentral:misc_RNA from 1 species